ACUAAAAUAUUGAUUUUUGAUCACAUUAAUGAGUAAAAAAAAAACUGUUACCAAUUUUUGCAAAUUAUGUGGCUAGUUUAACACAAUUUUUUGUAUGGAAUAAAGCAUAACUUCAUUCAAAAAUUUAUGUGAAGAUAAACUAUGUUCUUUAACGAAUCUAUUUAUGUAGUUUUGGUAACAAUCCAUUAAUUUUAUCUAACAUAAAAAUAAUAAUAAACAUCACUCCAAAUUGCAAUAAGCAGCCACGCAAUAAACAAAAUAGUCUUUUUAAAUAUGAUACAUUAAAUGUCAAUACGAAAAAUUGGUUUAUUUUAAAUAUGUGUUCAAUUAUGUGAAAGAUUUUCCUAUUGUGGUAAAUUUAGCAAAAUUUUUUGAUUUUUGGACUUUUGAACUUUAUA